AGACGUCGGCCGUAAAGUACCGGAGGAAGGUGGGGAUGACGUCAAAUCAUCAUGCCCCUUAUGACCUGGGCUACACACGUGCUACAAUGGUUGGUACAACGAGUUGCGAGUCGGUGACGGCGAGCUAAUCUCUUAAAGCCAAUCUCAGUUCGGAUUGUAGGCUGCAACUCGCCUACAUGAAGUCGGAAUCGCUAGUAAUCGCGGAUCAGCACGCCGCGGUGAAUACGUUCCCGGGCCUU
rnacentral:rRNA from 1 species